AACGCGAAGAACCUUACCCAGGUUUGACAUGUACUUGACAGUGGCAGAAAUGUCAUCUUCCGAAAGGACAAGUACACAGGUGCUGCAUGGCUGUCGUCAGCUCGUGCCGUGAGGUGUUGGGUUAAGUCCCGCAACGAGCGCAACCCUUAUCACUAGUUGCCAACACUUAGGGUGGGAACUCUAGUGAGACUGCCUGGGUUAACCAGGAGGAAGGUGAGGAUGACGUCAAGUCAGCAUGGCCCUUAUGUCUGGGGCGACACACGUGCUACAAUGGUCGGUACAGAAGGCAGCAAAACCGCAAGGUGGAGCAAAUCCCAAAAGCCGGCCCCAGUUCGGAUUGUAGUCUGCAACUCGGCUACAUGAAGUCGGAAUUGCUAGUAAUGGCGCGUCAGCCAUAGCGCCGUGAAUACGUUCCCGGGCCUUGUACACACCGCUGUA
rnacentral:rRNA from 1 species